CAGUACCGCGGUAAUACGGAGGGUGCAAGCGUUAAUCGGAAUUACUGGGCGUAAAGCGCACGCAGGCGGUCUGUCAAGUCAGAUGUGAAAUCCCCGGGCUUAACCUGGGAACUGCAUUUGAAACUGGCAGGCUAGAGUCUUGUAGAGGGGGGUAGAAUUCCAGGUGUAGCGGUGAAAUGCGUAGAGAUCUGGAGGAAUACCGGUGGCGAAGGCGGCCCCCUGGACAAAGACUGACGCUCAGGUGCGAAAGCGUGGGGAGCAAACAGGAUUAGAGACCCCAGUAGUCCCUGUCUCUUAUACA
rnacentral:rRNA from 1 species